GAUGAACGCUGGCGGCGUGCCUAAUACAUGCAAGUCGAGCGAACAGAUAAGGAGCUUGCUCCUUUGACGUUAGCGGCGGACGGGUGAGUAACACGUGGGUAACCUACCUAUAAGACUGGGAUAACUUCGGGAAACCGGAGCUAAUACCGGAUAACAUUUGGAACCGCAUGGUUCUAAAGUGAAAGAUGGUUUUGCUAUCACUUAUAGAUGGACCCGCGCCGUAUUAGCUAGUUGGUAAGGUAACGGCUUACCAAGGCGACGAUACGUAGCCGACCUGAGAGGGGGAUCGGCCACACUGGAACUGAGACACGGUCCAGACUCCUACGGGAGGCAGCAGUAGGGAAUCUUCCGCAAUGGGCGAAAGCCUGACGGAGCAACGCCGCGUGAGUGAUGAAGGGUUUCGGCUCGUAAAACUCUGUUAUUAGGGAAGAACAAAUGUGUAAGUAACUGUGCACGUCUUGACGGUACCUAAUCAGAAAGCCACGGCUAACUACGUG
rnacentral:rRNA from 1 species